UACGAAGGGGGCUAGCGUUGUUCGGAAUUACUGGGCGUAAAGGGCGCGUAGGCGGUGUGUCAAGUCAGGCGUGAAAGCCCCGGGCUCAACCUGGGAACCGCGCUUGAGACUGGCACGCUAGAGUUCGGGAGAGGAUGGUGGAAUUCCCAGUGUAGAGGUGAAAUUCGUAGAUAUUGGGAAGAACACCGAUGGCGAAGGCAGCCAUCUCGACCGACACUGACGCUGAGGCGCGAAAGCGUGGGGAGCAAACAGG
rnacentral:rRNA from 1 species